AUCAGUCUGAAAUCCAUUUCCCUGAUCUACUAAAACUGGGAGUUUAUAUAGUGAGGAAGGAAUAUAACUACAUGUGGGUCAACAGGAAUUAGAGAGUGCUAAGGGAGAGGAGUUGGUCAACAGGAAGCAGGUGGUUGGAUAGGCAAUCAUGAUGAGUGAGUGGUCUGGUGUCUCAUUGUCCAGAUGCUGUGAUCUGAAAACAACAAUAACAACAACAAAAACUCAAGAAACAGGAAUGCAAGAUCUACGUUUUGUUAAACUAAAGACACCUCUUACUCAUAACAAUCAGAUAUAAAAAAGCACUGCCACGGGGGCAAGAAUGAUGCUAAGAAAGUCUUUUAUGGCUACAAGUCUUGAAUCAAGCUGACCGAGCAGUUCUUACACUGAGAAGCAACAACAACCUUUUGUUUCAAGAAACAGAUUCUUCAUUGUCCAUCUUUUUUAAUGAGGACUUAGAAUGAAUAUUAUUGACAGAUGGAG